UACGUAGGAUGCGAGCGUUGUCCGGAUUCAUUGGGCGUAAAGAGCACGCAGGCGGUUUGGCAAGUCGGAUGUGAAAUCCCGAAGCUCAACCUCGGGCGUGCAUCCGAAACUGCCCGACUAGAGGUAGGUAGGGGAGAUCGGAAUUCCUGGUGUAGCGGUGAAAUGCGCAGAUAUCAGGAGGAACACCGGUGGCGAAGGCGGAUCUCUGGGCCUUACCUGACGCUCAGGUGCGAAAGCUAGGGGAGCGAACAGG
rnacentral:rRNA from 1 species